rnacentral:lncRNA from 10 species
CAAAGCAGCACGAGUUUUUGAAAUCAGUUUUUGUCCCUGAAAAUUAAGAAUAAACAUAAUCAGAUAAAGAAAUGGAUUAUUAUACCAAUCAUACAGUUAACACUCUACAAUCCGGGGUGAAUUCAUAGGUUUGUAGAUUAACUAAGUUAAAAAUGAAGAAACACAUCUCUGAUGCCAACAACCUGGGAUAGUAAAAGCCAGGGAGAAAACAAUAUUCUUUCACAUCAACAGUUUUCUUCUAUAACAAUCUCCAAAUCAAUGCGUAUUCUCAAUCUUUCCCCUUCCUCUACAAAUUACAAGUUAUUAGAAAUUAAAAGGUUUGCAGAUAAAGCACUGCUACUAUUUGUUCAUGUUCUCUAUAUCUAAAUAAAUGUCUUCUCAGAUUAGAGAACAUUAAUCUUCUUGUGUCAUGUUUUUCAGAAAUGCUUCACAUCAAAUCUGUUUCACCAGUUUUAUCUAAUUUGGUUAUCUAUGUCCCACCCUACCUGAUCCCACCAAAAACACACACAUAUACUGCGCUACACCCUGAGCUUGGCACAGAUCCUUAUGGAAAAUGAACUUGUCAUCAGAGAAUGCAGGAGGGACAUAUGUUUCAUCCACCACCAAGCUGCUGAAGCAUGGCCUCCUGUUGGCAUAUGAAGAAGUGCAGCACUGGCCAACACCAGGGUUUACUGGAGUCAUUUCAUGUCUGAUACAUAAGUGUCCGAUAAUAAUGUCAGCCUGGUUAGGAGAAUGAGAAAAAAAAGUAAGGAGAUUGGGCAUUAGUCACAAAGUUGGUUCAGUUUUUCAGAAAACUGCUGCAAUAAUUUCUAAUGCCCAGCAAUUUAUAAUUAAUAUUACAGGAAAAUUUGCUAUGUAGGAUCAUGUGACAUUAUAUUGUAAAUUCCAGGAUUUACCCAUUUGUUUGGGCUAAGCCUUAGCAAGUAGUAGCAGAUGGUCCAUAUGUGAUGUUGAGGAUAGUCAUUUAGCUAUUUGUGUCAGCUAUUUGAAACAUGCUUCCAGUUACAUACACACUUCUAAAGGACAAAAAUGUCUCUGCCUUUAUGUUUCCCAUGUGUAUUUAGUUGAACUUUCCAUUUUUCUUUUGAUAAUCACUAUCUGAAGGUAAGAAUAGCACAAACUUACCCCUUUUAUUCACAUACAUAUACACAUGUAUACACUUGCAGCUAAUAUAUCAUCCUAAUUGAAAAGAAGUAAGAGCAAUUUUGUGGGUUUUUAAGACUUUCCUAAUGUAGAAUCUUGCUACCUUGCCUACUUAGGAGAUAUUUCUUAAUCACCUAGUAAUAACUUGUAAUAAGAAAUAAUAUGUUUUGUGUGCACUUUAUCUGUCAGACUAGUGCUGUGUGAGUUAUGCAGAUUAUCUUGUUUAAAACAGCUGUCGUAUGAGGGUGGUAUAAUUUGUAUUCUCAAAUGUCAGAUGAAAAAACUCAAGCUUAAUGACAUAAGUUGCUUUCCCACUGUGAUACAACUAAAGAAUAGUGAAAGUAGAAUGCGGUUGUUGGCUGGUGGCCUCCGGAACAUACACUCCUGAACCAUUACACCAUCCUGCAUCCCUGCAGCCUCCCAGCAUGGGAAAUUCAACAAACAAUUGAGGUGACAUUUAAUCACAAGAACUCUCCUUUUACUCUUAACCUUUGGGGAAAAAAUGUAUGACAUGAAGACUAACAGCAAAUAACUCCCCAUUAUGAAAAAGAGGAAAAAGGAUAAAAUAGACAAUUUUGUUUGCAAUUAUGACUUUAUAGGAAAAAUAUUUUUAAUUCAUCCUGUAAUCUUAUGUAUGAUACUAGUGACAUUAGGAAGUAAAGAAUAUUGGCAUUACUGACUCGAAAGUCAUUUUACUAUUCAGAACAUAAUACUUAUCCUGUGCUGUACCCUAUACCCUGCGAAAGGGAACCAAUUAUUCCUGAUGUCAUAAUAAUAAUAUCAUGUUACAAAAGGUGAAAAUAUAAAUAUGGCUAAAAUAGCAUGACUAAUUUUAAUCAAUCAAAGAUAAAGCUUUUUUAAAACAUCAAAGUAAGUAUAUGAACAAAAAGCAGAAAUUAUGAUUUGAAGUUAUGAAUUAUGAAUUGUUAUGAAUUAUGAGUUACAUGUUGGUCGUUCUGUCUUUCCGAUAUAUAAAGUUGGCUCAGAUAUUGUUGACUAAACUGGCUGAACUUCCACCAGCCACCCUGGAGGAAUAGGAAGCAUGGCCACAUGCCAGCCAUCCAGAGCUGGGUUCUCACACCCCUCCAACCGUGACUAAUCAAACAAGCCUCCUAAGGCCAUCUCUACAUUGGUUUUUACCGUCUUCCCUAGAGGGGAAUUAUGAGGCUAUUUCAAGUCAAACAGGGCAGAAAUGAGAUGGGACCAAACCAAGCAGACACUCACCGCUCCCUCGCCACAGGCCAAUAGUUUGUCCUCACUGAG